AGUGGACGCUGGCGGUAGGCCUAACACAUGCAAGUCGAACGGCAGCACAGUAAGAGCUUGCUCUUACGGGUGGCGAGUGGCGGACGGGUGAGGAAUACAUCGGAAUCUACUUUUUCGUGGGGGAUAACGUAGGGAAACUUACGCUAAUACCGCAUACGACCUACGGGUGAAAGCAGGGGAUCUUCGGACCUUGCGCGAUUGAAUGAGCCGAUGUCGGAUUAGCUAGUUGGCGGGGUAAAGGCCCACCAAGGCGACGAUCCGUAGCUGGUCUGAGAGGAUGAUCAGCCACACUGGAACUGAGACACGGUCCAGAAUCCUACGGGAGGCAGCAGUGGGGAAUAUUGGACAAUGGGCGCAAGCCUGAUCCAGCCAUACCGCGUGGGUGAAGAAGGCCUUCGGGUUGUAAAGCCCUUUUGUUGGGAAAGAAAAGCAGCAGGUUAAUACCCCGCUGUUCUGACGGUACCCAAAGAAUAAGCACCGGCUAACUUCGU
rnacentral:rRNA from 1 species